AUUGAACGCUGGCGGCAGGCCUAACACAUGCAAGUCGAACGGUAACAGGAAGAAGCUUGCUUCUUUGCUGACGAGUGGCGGACGGGUGAGUAAUGUCUGGGAAACUGCCUGAUGGAGGGGGAUAACUACUGGAAACGGUAGCUAAUACCGCAUAACGUCGCAAGACCAAAGAGGGGGACCUUCGGGCCUCUUGCCAUCGGAUGUGCCCAGAUGGGAUUAGCUUGUUGGUGGGGUAACGGCUCUCCAAGGCGACGAUCCCUAGCUGGUCUGAGAGGAUGACCAGCCACACUGGAACUGAGACACGGUCCAGACUCCUACGGGAGGCAGCAGUGGGGAAUAUUGCACAAUGGGCGCAAGCCUGAUGCAGCCAUGCCGCGUGUAUGAAGAAGGCCUUCGGGUUGUAAAGUACUUUCAGCGGGGAGGAAGGGAGUAAAGUUAAUACCUUUGCUUAUUGACGUUACCCGCAGAAGAAGCACCGGCUAACUCCGUG
rnacentral:rRNA from 1 species